GAAGCUUAGUGGUAUCCUGAGUAGCGCGGAGCACGAGAAAUUCUGUGUGAAUUAGCGGGGCCCAUCCCGUAAGGCUAAAUACUCCCGAGAGACCGAUAGCGAACCAGUACUGUGAAGGAAAGGUGAAAAGAACCUCGAACAGAGGAGUGAAAUAGUCCCUGAAACCGUCUGCCUACAAGCGGUCGGAGCAUCUUCGGAUGUGACGGCGUGCCUUUUGCAUAAUGAACCUACGAGUUACUUUCUCCGGCAAGGUUAAGUACUUCAGGUACGGAGCCGAAGCGAAAGCGAGUCUGAACAGGGCAAUUUAGUCGGAGGGAGUAGACGCGAAACCAAGUGAUCUACCCUUGGUCAGGAUGAAGGUUAGGUAACACUAACUGGAGGUCCGAAUGGGUAUACGUUGAAAAGUGUUCCAAUGAACUGAGGGUAGGGGUGAAAGGCUAAUCAAACUUGGAGAUAGCUCGUACUCCCCGAAAUGCAUUUAGGUGCAGCCUGCGGUUAGUAUAGUAUGAGGUAGAGCGACUGAUUGGAUGCGAGGGCUUCACCGCCUAUCAAGUCCAGAUAAACUCCGAAUGCGUACUAUAUAUUGCCGUGGAGUGAGGGCGCGGGUGCUAAGGUCCGCGUCCGAGAGGAGAAGAAUCCAGACCAUCAGCUAAGGUCCCCAAAUAACAGUUAAGUUGAACUAACGAAGUCAGACUGCAGAGACAGCUAGGAUGUUGGCUUGGAAGCAGCCAUUCAUUUAAAGAGUGCGUAACAGCUCACUAGUCGAGGAGUCUGGCGUGGAUAAUACUCGGGCAUAAACUGUUUACCGAAGCUAUGGAUGUG
rnacentral:rRNA from 2 species